UACGAAGGGGGCUAGCGUUGUUCGGAAUUACUGGGCGUAAAGCGCGUGUAGGCGGCUAUGUAAGUCGGGCGUGAAAUCCCACGGCUUAACCGGGGAACUGCGUCUGAUACUGGAGGGCUUGAGUUUGGGAGAGGGAUGCGGAAUUCCAGGUGUAGCGGUGAAAUGCGUAGAUAUCUGGAGGAACACCGGUGGCGAAGGCGGCAUCCUGGACCAACACUGACGCUGAGGAGCGAAAGCCAGGGGAGCAAACGGG
rnacentral:rRNA from 1 species